rnacentral:rRNA from 1 species
UACGUAGGGUGCAAGCGUUGUCCGGAAUUAUUGGGCGUAAAGAGCUCGUAGGCGGUUUGUCGCGUCUGCUGUGAAAACCCGAGGCUCAACCUCGGGCCUGCAGUGGGUACGGGCAGACUAGAGUGCGGUAGGGGAGAUUGGAAUUCCUGGUGUAGCGGUGGAAUGCGCAGAUAUCAGGAGGAACACCGGUGGCGAAGGCGGCAUCCUGGACCGGUAUUGACGCUGAGGCGCGAAAGCCAGGGGAGCAAACGGG